CCUACGGGUGGCAGCAGUGAGGAAUAUUGGUCAAUGGACGAGAGUCUGAACCAGCCAAGUAGCGUGAAGGAUGACUGCCCUACGGGUUGUAAACUUCUUUUAUAUGGGAAUAAAACGUUCCACGUGUGGGAUUUUGUAUGUACCAUAUGAAUAAGGAUCGGCUAACUCCGUGCCAGCAGCCGCGGUAAUACGGAGGAUCCGAGCGUUAUCCGGAUUUAUUGGGUUUAAAGGGAGCGUAGGUGGAUUGUUAAGUCAGUUGUGAAAGUUUGCGGCUCAACCGUAAAAUUGCAGUUGAUACUGGCAGUCUUGAGUACAGUAGAGGUGGGCGGAAUUCGUGGUGUAGCGGUGAAAUGCUUAGAUAUCACGAAGAACUCCGAUUGCGAAGGCAGUUCACUGAACUGCAACUGACACUGAGGCUCGAAAGUGUGGGUAUCAAACAGGAUUAGAUACCCCGGUAGUC
rnacentral:rRNA from 1 species